rnacentral:tRNA from 1 species
GGUCCGGCAUAGAGUUUGCAAACCUCAAGAAGCAAAGAAAUUUUGCCCGGACU